rnacentral:rRNA from 1 species
UGCGUAGGCGGUGCUCUAAGUCGGAUGUGAAAACUCUGGGCUCAACCCAGAGCCUGCAUCCGAAACUGGAGUGCUAGAGUUCUGGAGGGGGUAGCGGAAUUCCUGGUGUAGCGGUGAAAUGCGUAGAUAUCAGGAGGAACACCGGUGGCGAAGGCGGCUACCUGGACAGAAACUGACGCUGAAGCACGAAAGCUAGGGGAGCAAACA